GUUCUUCCUGGACUCACCAAGAAUUAAGAGGGAAACUCCAUGAUGAAGGAUAUAAACCCAAGGGCCAGGACAUAAAGCAGAGGAUAUGAUAUGAACACAGCAGUUGUGGAAAAGAAUCCAGAGCAUCACCAAAAAGAGGAUUGGGCAAUUUCAAGUCUUUGAUGAACCAUCAUUGCAGGGGGGACCAUUCUCAGCUUCCAAAUCUCCUGUGAGGACCAGGAUCUCUGAGCUCACACCUCCUUAUCCAGUUCAUCCUCUGCCUGCUGGAUGCACAC